rnacentral:rRNA from 1 species
GGAAUAUUGGACAAUGGGGGCAACCCUGAUCCAGCCAUGCCGCGUGAGUGAAGAAGGCCUUAGGGUUGUAAAUCUCUUUCGGCGGGGAAGAUAAUGACGGUACCCGCAGAAGAAGUCCCGGCUAACUGCGUGCCAGCAGCCGCGGUAAUACGGAGGGGACUAGCGUUGUUCGGAAUUACUGGGCGUAAAGCCGACGUAGGCGGAUUUGUAAGUCAGGGGUGAAAUCCCGAGGCUCAACCUCGGAACUGCCUUUGAUACUGCAAAUCUCGAGUCCGGAAGAGGUGAGUGGAAUUCCUAGUGUAGAGGUGAAAUUCGUAGAUAUUAGGAAGAACACCAGUGGCGAAGGCGGCUCACUGGUCCGGUACUGACGCUGAGGUGCGAAAGCGUGGGGAGCAAAC